rnacentral:rRNA from 1 species
GUCCGGAAUUAUUGGGCGUAAAGAGCUCGUGGGCGGCCUGUUACGUCUGCUGGGAAAUCCCGGGGCUUAACCCCGGGCGUGCAGUGGAUACGGGCAGGCUGGAGGCAGGCAGGGGAGAACGGAAUUCCCGGUGUAGCGGUGAAAUGCGCAGAUAUCGGGAGGAACACCGGUGGCGAAGGCGGUUCUCUGGGCCUGUACUGACGCUGAGGAGCGAAAGCGUGGGGAGCGAACAGG